rnacentral:rRNA from 1 species
CGGCAAUAGCUCAAAUUUGAAAUCUGGCACCUUCGGUGUCCGAGUUGUAAUUUGAAGAAGGUAUCUUUGGUUUUGGCUCUUGUCUAUGUUUCUUGGAACAGGACGUCACAGAGGGUGAGAAUCCCGUGCGAUAAGAUGCCCAAUUCCAUGUAAAGUUCCUUCGACGAGUCGAGUUGUUUGGGAAUGCAGCUCUAAGUGGGUGGUAAAUUCCAUCUAAAGCUAAAUAUUGGCGAGAGACCGAUAGCGAACAAGUACUGUGAAGGAAAGAUGAAAAGAACUUUGAAAAGAGAGUGAAAAAGUACGUGAAAUUGUUGAAAGGGAAGGGCUUGAGGUCAGACUUGGUUUUACCAGGCCAGCAUCAGUUUGGAUGGCAGGAUAAUAGCUAAGAAAUGUGGCACUGCUUCGGUAGUGUGUUAUAUUCUUUGUUGAUACUGCCUGUCUAGACUGAGGACUGCGUCUUUGACUAGGAUGCUGGCAUAA